UACGGGGGGGUAAGCGUUGUUCGGAAUUACUGGGCGUAAAGGGCUCGUAGGCGGCCAACUAAGUCAUACGUGAAAUCCCUCAGCUUAACUGGGGAACUGCGUGUGAUACUGGAUGGCUUGGAUUUGGGAGAGGGAUGCGGAAUUCCAGGUGUAGCGGUGAAAUGCGUAGAUAUCUGGAGGAACACCGGUGGCGAAGGCGGCAUCCUGGACCAAUAUUGACGCUGAGGAGCGAAAGCCCAGGGGAGGCAAACGGG
rnacentral:rRNA from 1 species